AAAUCCGGAAUGCCUGGACUGCCUCAAACCAUGGCACGUUGCUGGGCUUCUGUAGUUUCGGCCAAGUCAGUCCCCUCUCUAGAAGGAUGUUCUGCCAGUCCCACCCAAGCAACGUGCAACGUUGUCCUCGCUGCCUCCAUACGGUGUUACGGUAUUAUCACAUCAAUUUGGGGAGUGGCUGCGUAUCAGCCCCCGCAGAUGGGACCGCCCUUCAGUGGGCUGGCUGCAAACAAGAACAGACAGCUCAGGACAUCUGCCGUAAGUAAACCAGGCAGAGGCGGGCUGGGGAGGAGAAGUACAGCAGAUGGGGGCAACAAAUAACACGUGACAGGCUGAGAGACAGAAGAGGAGACUCAGCACUGAGGUGGGCCAAGGAGUGCGGAGAAGCUACGGAGAGACUGUGUGAAGAAAGAGUGUUGGAUAAAAUGGGCAGAAGUGGUGUACAGAGGUCCCAGACGACUGCAUGAGCCGACUGCUGUGUGCAGUCACUUCCCACUGGAGACUUAGCAGCCUCUCCAGGAGAGUGCACCGCAGGCUUCGCUCCACGGAUUUCCUGUUAGGCUACCAGCUGGAGAGCAGGGAUCCUGGUGUCUCAGGUGCUUCAGAGGAGAUCAUUUCCCCAGAAAGGAAAAUGAAGAGGCUGAAUUUGUAAGCAAGAAGCACAGCUCCAAAACCUCAGCACAAAUAGCUUUGGAGGGCAUGGGAAGGGAAGACAUAGGACUGCAUUUUCUUCAGAAGACUUGUCAGAUCACAGGAUGAAUUCCUGUGGUUGAGAUGCAAAAACGUUGAACCUAAGUUAAUAACCCAUGCAGCAUUCAGCCCUCCACUCUUGUACUGUAUAAAAAUUUACCAGUCGUGUUCCAAAACAGCAUAAAAAGAAAUGUCUCCAAUGGAAAGUGCCAUCCUAUCCCAGCUCAAUGUACCUGAUAUCAAGCAAAUUCACUUUCUAAGACCAUUUUAGUUUUCACUUGUAGAACCUAACAGUAUCUGAGUGUUAGACUUAGCCAGGGGUCUAACAGUGGGAUCCUUGCUGUGGAUAUGCAGCUCCACAAACUUGGAGCUGCACUCUACCCACUUCUCUACAUGGCCUCCUACUUAGAAAAGCAGUAUGUUGAUAGGAUGGCUUUUCUUCCUGGAAUACCCACACCCAUCUCCUGCACAAAAUCAGCCAGCAGAUUCUCUCAUGAUAUGCUAGAAGCGGCACAGGAGUUGGCUGAACAGCUGCCAGCUGGGGCUGUAAAUGUGUGUGUGUGUACUGAUAAGGUGUAUCUCCAGUUUUGAAGCAUCAUGUUAUAACUGUCAAGCUGUGCAGAUAGCACAAACACAACGAUUCCUACAGUCCCUGUUCCAGCGAAGAUCCUCUUGACUGAAAGUCCUGCCUACAUCGGCUUUUGCACCUAAGACCAACCGGGUGACUCAUUCCGCUGGGCUGAGGCCUCAGCAAAGCCAGUUAGGACUCUGCAUAUAUGUGACAUGCUGGCCUUGAUGGGGAAGGAGGAGCCACCUCCUUGUAUUGUUCUUUUAGGAAGCACAAACUUGCUCAGAAAAACUGUAGAACUUAAUGGGUCCUACCCUGCCACUCAGCUGGUGACCUCAAGUAAGAGUGGGAACACUGGAAACCCCGGUCUAACAAAGGGGGAGUAACUGUUCAUGCAGAAGAGCCACUGGAAGGAUGCAAAGUCAGGAAAGGCAGCAGAGGAAGUUUGAAAUGUGAAGGUGGCGAUUAGCAAAUGAAUGAUGAGCUGGUACUACAGCCCUCUCUGAUGUCUGGGCAGUCAAGGACCUGGUGAUAAGAGCCUAGGAGAGCCAAUCGUACCUGCAAUGAGCUGCAGUCCUGACUACGAGCAUGGAUAAUGCAGAACAUCCCUUGAGCACAUGGACUGAACCAGGCAAGGCUCACGGGAAGCAGAGAAAACAAGCUAUAGCUUUUCAGCAAGAAACUGGAUCCAGGUCAAUCACACAAUUAAGAUGCUAGCAGAUUCCUCCAUGACCAGAUCACUCACUUGGGUAAACCUACAGAGCCAUGCUGAUCUAUGCUCACUGAGAUCAUGUGCUGCACCAUAUUUAUUGAUGAAUACUGAUUUGGACCCCAUUUCUGCCCUCAGCCAAGCAUGUAUAACUCCCAUAAGAGGCAGUGUAUGCAGCAGUUGGGAGAAAGAAAAACAGCUCAGAUGCCAGGGGAAGGAAGUUACAGACUCCACACAAGGAAAAAGUGGUACAGCCUGAUUCAUUUUAUAUCUCCUAAAAAUGUUCAUAGAAGAAUGUGUUGCGAGGGGUAUGACUGCAUGGGAUCAUACUGAUCUGAAAGUAGUGCAGGGAGGUUGGCUCAGAAGACCCGUGCGAACUGGAGAACAGAACAAGACAUGCUAUGACCACCAGAAGGCAGAGGCAUGUAGUACUGCAAGAUCACUGUAUGCCAGGUUGUAUUCUUACGUUUUUUUCUACAAGCUUUUGCCACUACCCACUGUUAAGAGACAGGUUAAUGAGGAAGUGGACUUUGCCUUGACUUUAUAUGGUCUUACAUCCCUCAGACCAAAGCAGCCAGCACUACCGAGUGAAUUGGCAGUUCUAGAUACAAGUUCCUGUUGUCUCCAGGUGUGCCGGGGUAGCUCCAAAGAGUCACCACGGAGGGAGACUGAACUUCGCCUUGGUGACAGGUCAGCCGCACAGAAUGUGAAAAGAAGAAACAUGUUCUCCCUGCGGCUGGUGGUGAACUGGUUUAACCCCGAUGUUCAUCGUCCCGAGCAGAUCUGACACAGGCUGUGCUUGUGCACAAGAAGGUGUCACAUUUUGUUGGCAGGCAAGGGAGAACCUCGUACCGAUCAAAGUCAGUUGUAAUCUUCCCUCUGUGAGAGACUGGCAUUGCUUUUGCACCCAAACAUGUGCGUCACACUGGAUUGCCAUAUUCUUGGAGGAGAAUAGAUGGGGAAGAUUUUAUUUAGAAGUCAUUCUUUUUAAUUAAAAGUAAAAGCUUGA